UGCUUUGGACCGUCUUCCACUGUAACGAGUCACUAAGUUGUUCAAGUGAGAUUUUAAAAGGAGCCCACUCCCGGCCACACAAGCUAGGACACGUCUCUCAGCUCCUUUCUUUUUUCCCUCCCUCCUUCCCUCCCUUCCUUCCUUUCUUUUUUUUUAAUGAAAAAGAACAGGAGGAGUAAAAAAGGCCAAGGCAAGCUCUGCGGAUAACUUCCUACUUCAUCACUCGGCCACGAGGGGCGGCCCUCUGUCGGCCUGACACCUGGUUCUGAGGUCCGGCCUCCGUUCUUCUCGUGCAGCUUGCUUUCACAGGAAAACCCUGGCUGAGAGAAUAUUGCAAAACAAAGGAGAAAACAAAGAACUUCAGCUGGUAAAAGACGUCUUUGUCCGUGACACCGAAUACGUGUCCUAUCUCUAACAGGUGGUGUUCGCUAAGGAUCCCCGCCGUCUGCAAGGAGGAGUCGCACCGAGAGAAGAAUGUUUUAAAGAAAAGGCAACUUGCGCAAAUGCCGAAGAGAAAUUUCACUGAAUUUCUAAAAUUCGGACACGCACCACGAAUCACGUGAGGCCGUGUCACAUAAAGUCACGGCUCUGUGAAGGAUAAAAUUCAUGCUGAAGCCAAGAGAUGUUGCUCCAGUGAAUGAUAUUCUGAAGCUCGGGUCAGAACACAACCGUGCCACAGUGAAUUUUUUAAGAAGUCAGGCAAGCUUGUAGACAAAUGUGCAAGCAGCCCCAGUGUUUACCCCAGUUGGGAAGGACCCCGUUUCGGGGAUGAGCACAGCACCGGGCUGAGCCUCGGAGGGAGGCCAGCACGGCCGCACAUCUGUUUCCAGUGCGGGGCUGGUAUGCAAACUAUUGUCUAUUGGAAGUGUGUGGUGGUAGCGUUUGCCAGGGUUAAAGGCUGGGUCAAUCUGAUCAAGAAGCUAAAAUUAGCUUCUGUGUGUUUUCCUGAAAAGAAAAAAAAAAACACUGUAAAGCUCUUUGUUUUCCUUCAAGUGCUGUUCUCAGAUUUCAGUUUCUGGUGUGUAAACUACCAGGAAACAGACGGCUCUGACAAGCGGCUUCUUGUUCGCGGGCCUCCGCGUUAUGAAACCGGGCGACAGGUUACCCGAGCCGGGGGACGCCUGCCGAAGCAGCCUUCCGCCCCAGCCCACACCUCCCGUUUGAAAGUAUUAACAUUAUAAAAUUAUUCAAAGUGAAUGCAUUUGGAAACUCAAAACCAGGGCUCUAUGUUGAAGCAUGCGAUGGUCUGGCAAAGCCCAAACACGUUAAGAAACUCGUCACUCUGAGAAGUGCUGGGGUAAGUUUCAGGUCACAUGUUACUGGGAGUCAUGACAGUAUCUGACUAUUUUCCUAGGAAGUGAGUUCCUUACAACUAAAAAGAGGAGAAAAAAAUUCCAGUCGGAACUCCAAGCCCGUAGGCAUUGGACAAAUUCAAAGAGCAGAGAGAAUCACAGAAACAAAAUACGGAGCCAUGAGAAAGUUCAAGAAAAGCGUCAAUAUGCUUUUAGGCUUAACAGCUGACGCCCAGAUACAUGGGAGACAGGGAGAGAGGAGCGACGGAGUUACCUGUCACGUCCAAGCGCUGGGAGUGGGGCACAAACAGACCACGAGCAGAAGCACGUAUGAAAUUUAUUUGCAUCCUAAGAGUCGCUUUUUCUUACACUGGAAAAGUGAGGUCACGGGAAUCUGUUUUCACUUGGGCAAAAUACCUCGUUAAUGUUUUAACUACUUCAAUAUUGCUAAUUGUUUAAAUGAUCUAUAUAAUGGAAUGAAAUGUGAUUUUACGAAGACCUGUAACGCACACAAGAGCUUUGGGGUGUAGGUUUUCCAGCCUAGUUAAAAGUUUCCCUGGUAAAGAGAAUUCCGAGAGAAGAAAUAGCCAGCUUUUCUUCCAAACACAAAAUGUUACGAAAAAUACUUGAACCAACAUGAAAAUAUUGGGCCAUUUAUAUUUGGGUCAUUUCUACCACAGGAUUUCCUUUUUUCUAAACAUCCUCUCAAUUUCAGUGACUUUCUGUAUUUUUUAAAUUUAGAGCUCAUUAAAAAAAAAGAUUUGGUAUGCAUACCAGAACUAUGCAAAAUACUUGGCAAAACUCACUGAUACAUAAAAUUCAGUUAUUUGUAAAAACAUACAUAAAAUUGCCUAAUUUUUGUAUUUAAAUGCCCUC